GCUGUGCAUGGUGGCGCAUGCCUGUAAUCCCAGCUACUCGGGAGGCUGAGGCAGGAGAAUCGCUUGAACCCGGGAGGCAGAUGCUGCAGUGAGCCAAGAUCGCGCCACUGCACUCCUGCCUGGGCAACAGAGCGAAACUCUGCCUCAA
rnacentral:SRP_RNA from 1 species